rnacentral:sRNA from 1 species
UAUAUGCUAACAUCGCGGUGUAAACAUA